CUACGGGAUGCACCAGUGGGGAAUAUUGCACAAUGGACGAAAGUCUGAUGCAGCAACGCCGCGUGGAGGAUGACACAUUUCGGUGCGUAAACUCCUUUUAUAUAGGAAGAUAAUGACGGUACUAUAUGAAUAAGCGCCGGCUAACUCCGUGCCAGCAGCCGCGGUAAUACGGAGGGCGCAAGCGUUACUCGGAAUCACUGGGCGUAAAGAGCGUGUAGGCGGAUAGAUAAGUCAGGAGUGAAAUCCUAUGGCUCAACCAUAGAACUGCUCUUGAAACUGUCUAUCUAGAAUAUGGGAGAGGUAGAUGGAAUUUCUGGUGUAGGGGUAAAAUCCGUAGAGAUCAGAAGGAAUACCGAUUGCGAAGGCGAUCUACUGGAACAUUAUUGACGCUGAGACGCGAAAGCGUGGGAGCAAACAGGAUUAGAUACCCCGGUAGUC
rnacentral:rRNA from 1 species